AUGUAAUCGGACCAGACACUGACUGGCAGCAGGACAGGCCGAAAAUCCCAGGGAAAUGGGCUCCUCUGCCCAGUCGCAGUGACUGCAAGAUUUAGGAGCGGAGCUCCCGGGCAGAGGACACAGGCCAGGCUGGGAGCCUGUCCCAGAAAAUUACUGACAGCAAACCAAGACGUGGUUUGCUCGUCGUCGUUGUUUGAAAAAUGCACUCACUGCAAACAUACUUCAGCUUCUGGCUGGUCCACGGGCCAUUUGGUUGUGACUUUUUCAACAGUUAGCUGAGCUGCAAGAUCAGUCCAGCAGUCACUUGGAUUUGUUUUCCCUCUUUAAAUGAUCACAAUUUCUGUUUAGUUUCCAGAGAAUCCCCCAACUAUUUUAAGCCUCCAGUCUGUAAGCCUGUGCCUUUCUAUAGAAAUGAGGACGUCUAUUUGGGUGUGUAACCCUUGUCCAUCCAAAGGACAAAUGGCUAGUUAACUAAUAAGGGAGGUAAAGAAUAACCUAUUAAUUCUUCCAGUCUUCACAGCACGCUGACGGUAUGAGUCUGAACCACCACAAAAGAGGACCACUGAUUUGAAGACAACAGAAUGGAGGCAAACAUUCCACCGGGUCUUGAGGCAAAGAGUCAAUGAGAAAGUAGACGUUUGGGUGAGCCAACUUGGUUCUAUGUGAGAUGACAACUCCACUUACACCUACCACAAAUGGAUUUUCAGGCUCUUCCAAAAGCAGGCGUUGCAUUAGGAAGCACCCAUAUGGCUUACAGUCUCAUGGUAUGGCAGCAUCACUGUGCAGCACAAUCCUGGAGGCUUCAAACUGCACAGCCAAGUCAGCAACCAAAAAGAACAGUUAGUGCAACUAACAAAAACAACUCUUUUGAUCUCCUUGACAUCAGUGCAGCAAACAUCCCACUCUGGUGCAUUCUUGCAUAAAAGAGAAGCUUCUUGCUGCUCAAUCACACUGCUUUUAAUAGCUUUCUGAAUGCAAACAUCCGCAGCUUUUAUUUCAGUUUAAUCUGCCAAUUUUUCUAAGUCUUUAUCACACUUUAUCAAACAGUGUAUCAGUGUGAGAUAUCCAACCCCCUCCCCUCAGGCAUCUCCGAAAUUGAAAUCCCAGGAAGACAGCAGCUUCUUUCAUAUUUUAAUUAUUUUAACAUUUUCCUUUAGUGGCCUCUGUAUUAUUAUGACUUGUUUUUCUCUCUGGAACAGGGCUGUGAUCCCACACUGGGUGGGAAAUUUGUUUGUCUAGAGCAAAAUAGCAGAAUGCCUCUAAUGCAUUAGAUAUGGAUUAGAGAAAUUGUGUUUGGGAAAUAUAUAAUCUCUUGGUAAACGGGGAAAAAUAAAAAGCCUAUUUCAUUUCACUUCUAAUUUGUUUUUCCCCGAUUAUAAUUUUUAAUGAAAAAGUGUGUUUUAACCACAUGAGCGCUGCCUAAUUUGCCAAAUGUUAGGAAUAAACUGCAUCUCCAAUAAUGUCUCUUCGUUCUUUACCAUUGAGGGCUCUGAUGGAGGAAAACACUUAACCACAUGCUUAAAUCCCUCCUUCCUGUAGAAAACACUCACAUGUAGAAUUAACUUCAGGUCUCCUGGGACUUGUUCAUGUGCUUAAAGUUUGAGACACUUCAAUAUUUCUCAAGUUUGAGAUUGCCUCCUGAUUUAGCACCGUGUAAGGCAUUAAAACCGACAUCAAGACUCAGAGCAUAUUUUUGCCGGGUGUCAGGAUGUCUCUAAUAUGCAGAGGGAAAAAUCAUUGCAGCCCAGGCAUGGUAUGCUUGCUCUGCAAUACAUUAGGUAAGCAAACAGAGCAACAUCGGUCAUGUCCAUGCACAGCUGAAGAUCCCUUGUCCUGUGUGGCAUCUCCUGCUUAUGGGACAUGCAUAAGCCUUCCCUGAAGGGAUGGAUUUGAGUCACAAACUAUAAGCCUGGGAAGCUUUCAGAGCAGCAAUCCACGCCAGUCCUCAUCCAGGCUUGCCUUCCUGGCUGCUGGGCUGCAUUUCCCAAGGUUUGAUUUUAAAUUCAGUUUCUCUAUUUUUCCGGGCAAAUCACUCUGUCUGACAGAGCUUUUCCAGUAACCAGGCAUUGUUGGCACAGAGAGGCCAGGCCCAUUACUAUUGUAUUUACUCUGGACCCCAGCUUCUCCUUCUCAUCCAAUAAAUCCAUUUGAGAGCGAGGGUUGUGAUAGACAUUUUAAUAGAGCUCUCCUUAACCUGACCAUGUUAAUGAUUUUUGGGGGGGCUGGCUCUAUGCCAGUUCAUGCAGCUCAUUAGCUGUUUUGUGUGUGUGUGUGUGUUCUUUUCUUUGUUAUCAACAGUAUCACUUCCUUCAUGUUUAUCACACAUGCUCUUGCAUUUUGAACACCAGUGCUUCUUGCUGCCCAGCACCCAAAAACCAGAUCCCAAUACCUCAUCCUGCACCAACAUCCACUCCUCCUCUCAAAGAUCACAAAAGCUCUAUUACCUGACAGAAAUAUCAGAACUGUUUGCUUCAGCUGUGCACUGUUUAUUUUACAAACCACUAAUUGACCUGAACUUAACCAGUGACAGAUAGGGGCAAGGGAAGGAGAUCUCCUCUUCCCUGACAGAAAAUCAGAGCUGAGCCAUGCACUUCUGCUGUUGCUGACUCAGCCAGAGGUUUCCAGCUGUGGUGUGUGGGGAACCAGCUGCUCGGCUGCCUAUUGAUGUGCCCCUCUCAUAGCAGAGUGUGUUUU
ensembl:lncRNA